UCAUCAAGCAUUGUAUUGAAUAACUUAUAGACGAAGAAUGCUAUUGCUGCUGUGCAAACUGGCUUUAUCAAUUCGAUAUAUAAACAGUUUUCGCCAUGCAUGGCUAAGAUCGUAAAGUUCAGCAUCACAAAAAGUUGGAGGAUCAUGUUUUAAAAGUGAGUAUAAGUACUUGUAAUUUUAGACACUACAUUUUAGCAGGGGCUUCAUCGGCUUUCGCCUCAGCACUUCUCUUGGAGUCGGCAGUAUCGCUUUCCGACUUUACUGCUUUUCCAACGUCAUCAAAAAAGUUGUUAAUUCCAUGUCGCACACGUUCAAUACCAUAAACAAUCUUGUGGUCGGCUUUACGAACGUCUUCUUUACCUUCGCGUUCCAUUAUUUAUAAUUUCAGAGGAUGUACAAAAAAUUCAAGGUUGGUCGUAUUAUCAAAACUUCGCAAAUGUAUAGGGACAAAAGCAAUUAAUAACUUUAAUCUCACCUAGUGUUUAAGUGUGAUAGAAUGAGUAUUUAUCACCAGUUGUUUUGUUAAAGAAUAAACCGCCGAAGCCGGGCGGCUGCUGUAUAUAUAGUAAACAUAUCAGCGUCCCUACCGCCAACCCAUGACGUAAGUCGGGUUAUUAAGAAAUGCGAUCUCGUGAAAUAAAAAAUAAGAUUGAAAAUAAUGGAAAUUGGAAGAAAAACCGAGAAUUACAAGGGCGUUUUGUAUGUACCUGAU